rnacentral:lncRNA from 1 species
CCCCUUUGCAGUCCCCUGCUUCUCUCGCUAUUGGAUCCCGACCCUAAACUCCACCCCUACCCUGACAUAUAAAGCCCAUGACUCUACCCUGACCCUUCUCUUGGUCCCUGGCUCAAUAAAGGAUCCUGGGUUUUGCUAAACCAAGACCCAUGCUGUUGUCAUCCUUUCCUGUUGGUCAUUAGUGGCUGCCUGAGGUCUGAGACUCCGGGGCCCGGGGGAGUUGUGGUGCCCCUCACUGCAGUGGAACCUAACAUAUCUAGGCCUGCCCCUUGUCCUAAAAGCAGAUUGUGGAUUCCCAAGCUUUUACUAAUCAAGGUGUUUACCAAGACACUUCACAGCAUUCCCGGCCAGUUUAUUACUUAUUGCACAUCAUCUGAAAACAACUUCAAAGGUACAGAAGGUGAAUUAAAGGUCUGCUAAGAAAUCUCAGACAGGAGCCUUAGGGAAACCACAAUCUGCUGUAACACUUUGUGGACGCUGUUAAUGUAAUUCUUGAAAUCCAUAUAUAUUGUGUGUGUGAUGUAUAUAUAAUAAACCAGUAACAUGCUAAGGACCAUUACCUGGUAUUGCUGACCACUUAACCACCAGCCCUAGCCUUGAGCUCUUUAUUAGUUUCAGUUGACAAACACAAAUCCCAGCCCUGGGGAACUACCUCCUGCACUGAGUGCAACUUCCCAGAACAGACCCAUCAACAGAUGAGCAGGAACUCUACAAAUCUAAAUGGCCUUGAGGACCAUAAGAAUUCAGCACAAGACCAGCAUCACAAACACAACAUUUUUACUCCUGGCUAUCCUCCUCUCCGACAGAACUGGAAGAUAAGGUAUAACACCAUAACAACAUAUUUCCAUAAUGUGAUUGUCAAAAACCAGCUAUUUUCAGAGGGCCCACAGGCUUCAGUCCUCCUCCUGGUAGAGUCUGAUCCUUGAGCUCCCCGGUGUUAUUGGAGAACUUCUAUCCUGAGUUCUUUGCUCACUUGUUUACCAACAAAUCGCAAACUUAAUGUUUUGUUUUAACACACAUUUAAACACAUUUUAAACAGUUAAGCUUUCUUCAUUUUAACAGAAAAUGGGCUGCUUCAGUCUAAUUGCUUUAGUCUGUUUGUAGAAUUAUUUGCAAUUCUAAUUCUAGCAUUGCUUGCAGCUUGGAGAAGGUGUGCAUUGAUAAACUGUUUUGAUCCCUGUGUGAAACAGAAGUUAAUCCUCUGUAGGGUAAUGGAGUGAGAAUUUUUCCUAAAAAUCUUAUAAAUGGACCUAUAAAAUUUCAUCUUUACAUAGUAUAACCCCCUGAGCAGUUCUCUGUUGAAAUAUUAACUUUACAACAUGAAAGAGAUUAUACCUGUGUCCUUACUCUUCCUGAUUUUGUGAGGUUCCUGCCAGCACCUGUAAAGUCAGUCAGAGGGGGUACAUGGAAUGGUGUUCCUAUUCUGUGUACAGGCUCUUAGUGGAGCUGGGCCUUCAUGAAAGGAGCCCUUUGAGGAAUUUAAUCAUGUUUAAUUUGGCUUAAUAAACUUCUACAAAAGUUUUUUGCA